rnacentral:rRNA from 1 species
UAAGGAAUAUUGGUCAAUGGACGCAAGUCUGAACCAGCCAUGCCGCGUGGAGGAUGAAGGUCCUCUGGAUUGUAAACUUCUUUUAUCUGGGACGAAACACUUCUUUUCUAAGAGGCCUGACGGUACCAGAUGAAUAAGCACCGGCUAACUCCGUGCCAGCAGCCGCGGUAAUACGGAGGGUGCAAGCGUUAUCCGGAUUCACUGGGUUUAAAGGGUGCGUAGGUGGGUAUGUAAGUCAGUGGUGAAAUCUCCGAGCUUAACCUGGAAACUGCCGUUGAUACUAUAGGUCUUGAAUUAUCUGGAGGUAAGCGGAAUAUGUCAUGUAGCGGUGAAAUGCUUAGAUAUGACAUAGAACACCAAUUGCGAAGGCAGCUUACUACAUAUAAAUUGACGCUGAGGCACGAAAGCGUGGGGAUCAAACA